AUUGAACGCUGGCGGCAUGCCUUACACAUGCAAGUCGAACGGUAACGCGGGGCAACCUGGCGACGAGUGGCGAACGGGUGAGUAAUGCAUCGGAACGUGCCCGGUAGUGGGGGAUAACUGCUCGAAAGAGCAGCUAAUACCGCAUACGACCUGAGGGUGAAAGGGGGGGAUCGCAAGACCUCUCGCUAUCAGAGCGGCCGAUGUCGGAUUAGCUAGUUGGUGGGGUAAAAGCCCACCAAGGCGACGAUCCGUAGCUGGUCUGAGAGGACGACCAGCCACACUGGGACUGAGACACGGCCCAGACUCAUACGGGAGGCAGCAGUGGGGAAUUUUGGACAAUGGACGCAAGUCUGAUCCAACCAUGCCGCGUGCGGGAAGAAGGCCUUCGGGUUGUAAACCGCUUUUGUCAGGGAAGAAACGCUCUGGGUUAAUACCUCGGGGUAAUGACGGUACCUGAAGAAUAAGCACCGGCUAACUACGUGCCAGCCGCCGCAGUAAAAC
rnacentral:rRNA from 1 species